rnacentral:rRNA from 1 species
AGUGAACGCUGGCGGUAGGCCUAACACAUGCAAGUCGAACGGCAGCACAGAGGAGCUUGCUCCUUGGGUGGCGAGUGGCGGACGGGUGAGGAAUACAUCGGAAUCUACUCUGUCGUGGGGGAUAACGUAGGGAAACUUACGCUAAUACCGCAUACGACCUACGGGUGAAAGCAGGGGACCUUCGGGCCUUGCGCGAUUGAAUGAGCCGAUGUCGGAUUAGCUAGUUGGCGGGGUAAAGGCCCACCAAGGCGACGAUCCGUAGCUGGUCUGAGAGGAUGAUCAGCCACACUGGAACUGAGACACGGUCCAGACUCCUACGGGAGGCAGCAGUGGGGAAUAUUGGACAAUGGGCGCAAGCCUGAUCCAGCCAUACCGCGUGGGUGAAGAAGGCCUUCGGGUUGUAAAGCCCUUUUGUUGGGAAAGAAAUCCAGCAGGCUAAUACCCGGUUGGGAUGACGGUACCCAAAGAAUAAGCACCGGCUAACUUCGUGCCAGCCGCGCAGUAA